ensembl:processed_transcript
AGGAGAGAAAUUCCCACCUCAAGGACCUUUUUUGUCUUCCAGAAUCUUCCACUUUCAAUGGCUUUGCGUGUGAUCCCCAUCACCAGGAGUUAUUUAAGUACAACGACUUUUGUGUACUCACGGACUUGUGCAGAAAUUUACCACAAGCUGACUGGAGAGCUCGGGGGUUUGUUCAUCCAUGUUGUAGCAUGUCUCUGAAUUUCUUUUGAUGGCUGAAGGAUAUUCUGUUGUGUGAUAUACCGCAUGUAGGUCAGCCGUUUGUGAGUUCAUGGGCAUUCGAGUUGUUCCCAUCCUUUGACGACGGUUACCACCCCAAGGAAUACAUCGCCCGUCAAGAUCACGAAGCAGCGACUCCACUCCUGGUAGAGGGAGGCAACUGUGCCCAGCCCUGCAGAGCACUCUUGGAGACUGCUGGGGACAUGGGAUAGCCAGGACCAGAGCAGGGAGGUGCAGGCAAAACUCAAGUGGAGAUGGGGGAGAUGGGAGAAGGGAGUAGACAUGGCUCCUCCCUGCCAGACCUCCAACUCCCCGCCUCGAUCUUCAACUCCUCUCGGAUAAGGUCUUGUCUAGCAUCGUCUGGAAAUUUGAUGCCCUCCGCUCGGCUGCACAGGCAGGUCCUCUGCUGCCCUCAGAAAUCCUUGCUCUGAGCGAACGCCCGCCACUUCUUCACCUUCUGGGAUCAAGUCUCAUCGGAAGCAGGGAGGAG